ACGCACGCUGGCGGCGUGCCUAAUCCCUGCACGUAGAACGCUGAAGAGAGGAGCUUGCUCUUCUUGGAUGAGUUGCGAACGGGUGAGUAACGCGUAGGUAACCUGCCUUGUAGCGGGGGAUAACUAUUGGAAACGAUAGCUAAUACCGCAUAACAAUGGAUGACACAUGUCAUUUAUUUGAAAGGGGCAAUUGCUCCACUACAAGAUGGACCUGCGUCGUAUUAGCUAGUAGGUGAGGUAAUGGCUCACCUAGGCGACGAUACAUAGCCGACCUGAGAGGGUGAUCGGCCACACUGGGACUGAGACACGGCCCAGACUCCUACGGGAGGCAGCAGUAGGGAAUCUUCGGCAAUGGGGGCAACCCUGACCGAGCAACGCCGCGUGAGUGAAGAAGGUUUUCGGAUCGUAAAGCUCUGUUGUAAGUCAAGAACGGGGGUGAGAGUGGAAAGUUCACACUGUGACGGUAGCUUACCAGAAAGGGACGGCUAACUACGUG
rnacentral:rRNA from 1 species